rnacentral:rRNA from 1 species
UACGGAGGGGGCUAGCGUUGUUCGGAAUUACUGGGCGUAAAGGGCGCGUAGGCGGCCCUCUAAGUCAGACGUGAAAUCCCACGGCUCAACCGUGGAACUGCGUCUGAUACUGGAGGGCUUGAAUCCGGGAGAGGGAUGUGGAAUUCCAGGUGUAGCGGUGAAAUGCGUAGAUAUCUGGAGGAACACCGGUGGCGAAGGCGGCAUCCUGGACCGGUAUUGACGCUGAGGCGCGAAAGCUAGGGGAGCAAACGGG